CGACACGACCAGUACGGUGUCGUCAGGCCAGGAUGCUGCGUCCUGCCGAGGAGGAGGAGGACGCGGCUCCUCGACGUUGACACACGGCACGUACGUAGCCGUGUGCCAACUGCUCCGUCAACUUUUGCACCUGCAAAGCAUAAUGGGAAAGAGGAGGUUCGAGUGGCCGCGGAAGUGGAAUUGUGCCGGCACCCUUUGUUCCCGCCGAAUCAGCAGCAACCUCUUUUUCCCGGCUUUGUCGGGAAUCAAUACGUGAAUUGUCACUUUCCCGUGACACCCGAGGUCCCAUCCUCUCUCUCUCUCUCUCUCUCUCUCUCUCACUCUCAACGAGAUCCUCACUCUGCCUAUCUGCCAUCUAAAUCGUCUCGAAUCACGAGAUCGUGCGAGAAAAUUAUACGUAUAGGGUGCAAAAAGAGCUACCGGUUUACUUUGAUCACAGGGAUGUGGAUAGCAACGAGAGUAGAAGGGAAAGGGGGGGGUGUCUGUAUUCAGAGACAGUGCGGGGCCUGAUCGUAAAAUAAAACAUUCGAACAGUGUGUUUACACAACGUCGUUUUAUAUAUACAUAUUGCCACACAACAAUGUACAGUAGAAUAAUUCGACAGCUACCGCUAAUGAAGUAACUAAGGGUGCGUGAUAAAAGAAUGCUGGGUACAAUGCCGGUGACAAGUUCCUCGUGAUGUGUCACGUCACCGAGUCCUGCUUUCAUCAUAUCUCCCCCUUUCUCACACUCUGAUCCUUAACUCCCGUGCUCGCACGUCACUUGACGUGACAUAAUAUGGGGAAGGGAGAUGUUGCAGAAGUUUGCGCAGAAUUUAUAUCGAAGUGUUAAUCGAGAGAGUCAAAUAUAAUUGUAGAUCUAGUA